GCUGAGGGACAGCCCCGCGGUUGUGGGUGUCCCGCGGCGCCGGAAACUGGGCGCACACACCCUCGGAUUGACGUGCGCACGCGCACCGGUUACCUUCAGGAGCGCCGAAGAAGGAAAGAAGAACACAGAGCCCGAGGCAAAGCUUAAGUGCUUACGCUUUUGUCGGGAGGUACAGACCCAGCUCUGCGAGAGCCAGGGGAAAAGGAAGAGAGGCAGGGAAGGAAUGGCAGCAAGUACAAGGUGAUGAAUGACUGCACUGGCCAUUGCUUCAUGAAGAGCCACGAAAAAACAGAGCCGGUUUCUCAGCAGGUGGCUGGCUGCUCAGUCACAAAGGACCUCUUUGGACAGGCUUUAUGGAAAUACUGUGCCUAGGACAGUCGCUCAAAGGCAGGAGGGAGAGAAAAUGCAUCUGCAAGCUCACUUUGUCUUCUUUCUUCUGCUGGUCAAAAUUUGCUGGCUGGGGCAGUUAACGCCCUCACACAUCCGAGUUGUGUCACCUGGCCCCUUUGGUAGCCACUGGGGAAGCCAGAUCUAGGCAUGUGGCCUGAUGGCUCCUGCGGUGGAACCACAUGCUCACACUCAGUCAGUCACCACUGGGAUGCCCUGGGCAGGGCAGGCUGAGUGGCUGGGAGAUAGCUGAGCCUAAGAUAUCUAAGCAAGCACCUGUGAUGUAUGCACUGCAGUGUCCAAAUGUGAAAAAGCAAGAAAGGGAGAUAGAAGCAUAUUUUUUUCUGGAGAGAAGGAGGAAACCACCAGGAGAAUACAAACAGAAAAAAGAUGGAGUUGAGCUCUGUCGCCCAGGCUGGAGUGCAGUGGCACCAUCUCAGCUGACUGUGACCUCCGCCUCCUGGGUUCAAGUGAUUCUCCUGCAUCAGCCUCCCGAGUAGCUGGGACUACAGGUGCACACCACCAUGCCCGGCUAAUUUUUGUAUUUUUAGUAGAGACGGGGUUUUGCCAUGAUGGCCAGGUUUGGUCUCAAACUCCUAACCUCAAGUGAUCCACCCUCCUCAGCCUCCCAAAGUGCUGGGAUUACAGGCGUGAGCCACUGCGCCCCGCCUACUUGAAUUUUUUUUUUUUUUUUUUUUUUUGAGACAGAGUUUUGCUCCUGUUGCCCAGGCUGGAGUGCAACGGCAUGAUCUCGACUCACUGCAACCUCUGCCUCCUGGGUUCAAGUGAUUCUCCUGCCUCAGCCUCCCAAAUAGCUGGGAUUACAGGUGCCCACCACUGUGCCUGGCUGAUUGUAUUUUUAGUAGAGAUGGGGUUUCAUCAUGUUGGUCAGGCUGGUCUUGAACUCCAGACCUCAGGUGAUCGGACUGCCUCGGCCUCCCAAAGUGCUGGGAUUACAGGCAUGACCCACUGUGCCCGGACCUGCUUGAAUUUUUAUGAUGAGCAUGUUGGCAGAUCACGACUGCCAGCUCCGUGACAGCAAGAACCUUGUAUGACUUUUUCAUGAUGGAUGUUCAUCUGUGCCAUCUGUAAAUAUUGAAUAAAUAUUUGUGGAAUACAUGAAUCUAAAAGUGAAUGGAAUGAUAAAGAGGGAAAGGGUCAUGACAUCUACUACAGCAUUUGGCACAGACCCAGGUUUCCCUGGUACUGGUAAUUCCCAGCAGCUUUCUACAAUUCCAAAGGUCAGAAAUAAACUGCCAAAAAAUUUUUACUAAAUCAUGUUCUGGUCUGGGAUACAGCCCUGAAAUGCACUUUGAGCAAGAAAGACUUUGUAGAGGAGAAAAAAGGUGGACCAAUGAGGAUUGGGCUAGAACCAGAGGAAAGUGAACAUUCUUGGUUUAGAUAAAUAUCCACAACCUUCUAAGGUUUUCAUGUGUACUACAGAGAAGCUCCAGGCUCCUACAUUUCCCUGUGGGUAGUUUUAAAAAGCUACUGUAGCAAAACAGAGGCUGGUGGUGACUACGCUUAUCUUUUAGAAGAGCCAUCAUUGCAUUUCUGCAGCACAGAAUAUAUACGUGUUUUUUACUCUUAGUGGUGGAGUUUAUAUGUGACUCAUGAUGUUUAGUUGUUAAUCAUCCAAUGAUACUAAAUACUGCUUAGUUAGCUCAGUAUUCCCUUUAGGAAACCAGAUAUUGCUAAAGUCACUGUUCGACUUAAUGGGGAAAAUUCCACUAACAUCUAAAAUAUGUGAUUUAUAAUUCAAAAAUGUAAAUACUGUAUUGGUAUUACAUACUAUAAAAGGACAAUUGUCUACACAAUUACAUAACAUGCAUGUAAGGAUCAAUAUUUAAUUAAGACUAUUUUUGUAUUCUCAUUGGGAGUUAGAGCCCAAUAUUCUCAAUUGGGUGAGAAUUUCAGCCAAAUGGUCUAUCCAUUUUCUUUUCUUUCUUUCUUUUUUUUUUUUGAGACAGAUCUUGCUUUGUUGCCCAGGCUGGAGUGCAAUGGUGUGAUUUUGGCUCACUGCAACCUCCGCCUCCUGGGUUCAAGCGAUUCUCCUGUCUCAGACUCCCGAAUAGCUGGGAUUACAGGUGUGCACCACCAUGCCUGGCUAAUUUUUGUAUUUUUAGUAGAGGUGGGGUUUCACCAUGUUGGUUAGGCUGGUGUCAAACUCCUGACCUCAGGUGAUCUGCCUGCCUCGGCCUCCCAAAGUGGUGGGAUUACAGGCGUGAGCCACUGUGCCUGGCCAGUCUAUCCAUUUUCUAUUUCCCCAAAGUAACUUGUGAGAAAUGUCUUAGGCUAGAAUUUGCUUAUAUAUUUUCCAUCUUGCACAUGGUUAAAACGUGCAGUUUCCUAAACCAGUGGUUCUCGAACAUCAGUGUGCAUUAGAAUCACCUGGAGGGCUGGUUAAAACACAGAUUGCCAGGCCGUUCUCAGGGUUUCUGAUUUAGUAAGUCUGGCGGUUGGACCCGAGAAUCUGCAUUUCUAACCAGUGAUUCCCAAGUGAUGCUGAUGCUGCAGGUCUGGGGACCAAUGUCUUGAACUAACAGCUCUGAAUAAAAAUCUAAUUGGAUUCUGAAUGCCACAGAUGCAGUUUGGAGAUUGUUUUUCAAAGCAGAAUAUCCAUUUGUGGAAUAAAAAAGUUUAUCAUUGUUAUUACCUGAAGUAAUUUCUCUUUCCUUUGUGUUUUUAGAGGAGUUUUGUUGGUCGCUUUUAUCAGGCAUUAGGCCUUGUAUUACAUUCAUUUGUGCCUAUGCUUUAUCUCCUUUGUGACUGUGAGCUCUUUGAAGGACUGUGUUCAUCUUUAAAUCCUCAUUGUACCUUACAUCUUGUAGACUUCAAAUCAUUGUUUGGUAAAUUGAAUUUAGUGAUGUGUACAUGUUUUGUGCCUGCUUUCCUACAUGUAAUAAUUAUAAACAACAAAUAUCAAGUUAAGUAUGC
rnacentral:lncRNA from 10 species